rnacentral:rRNA from 1 species
GGACCCGGAGGGACGAACCUCUAGUGCGCCAGUUGUCUCGCCAGAGGCAUCGCUGGGUAGCCAUGUUCGGAAAGGAUAAGCGCUGAAAGCAUCUAAGCGCGAAGCCCCCCUGAAGAUGAGGUAUCCCCUGGCCUUCGGGCCACUGAAGACCCCUCGGAGACCACGAGGUUGAUAGGCCGGAUGUGUAAGCGCAGCAAUGCGUUCAGCUUACCGGUACUAAUCGGUCGUGAGGCUUGACCAU